rnacentral:tRNA from 1 species
CUCCCCGUAGCUUAAUGGAUAAAGCACUCCCCUCCUAAGGGAGAGAUGGUGGUUCGACUCCUCCCGGGGAGA